UAUGGAAUGGGCUUUAGAGCUUUUAUCGUCUUGUGGCUCAAGACUUAUCGACCAGCCGCCACCAAUUCGAAAUGUCGAUACUGACUGUUUGGCAUUUUGCAGCACUAGUGGCUGCUGAUUUGUGCACCGUGUUACAUCACUUAGACGAAUUAUAGGUAAAUUGAACGGGAUUUGAGCAGCGCUGAGCGAUAGAGUAAACAAUAAGUUAUAUCUAAUAGAAAUGUGCCUAAAAUUGCCGAUUCGGAACGCGAUCUCAUAACAAUCCUAGGAGCCCAAAAGGCCGCACUGCUGUGAACUUGCGGGCUGCGUGUUUUGGAUCGCGUUCGCCGGAAACAUAAACAUACGAUGAGCGAAAGCACAAAUCAGUUUUGUGCCAUUGAUUUUUGAGUACAUCACCCCAAAAAUAACGAUAAACAACAGAACAGUGAAAACCCAGAAAAAAA